rnacentral:rRNA from 1 species
UUAUCAGAGAGUUUGAUCCUGGCUCAGGAUGAACGCUGGCGGCGUGCUUAACACAUGCAAGUCGAGCGAAGCACUUAUCGUGGAAUCUUCGGAGGAAAUGAUAUUUGACUGAGCGGCGGACGGGUGAGUAACGCGUGGGUAACCUGCCUCAUACAGGGGAAUAACAGUUAGAAAUGGCUGCUAAUGCCGCAUAAGCGCACAGGGUCGCAUGGCCUGGUGUGAAAAACUGAGGUGGUAUGAGAUGGACCCGCGUCUGAUUAGGUAGUUGGCGGGGUAACGGCCCACCAAGCCGACGAUCAGUAGCCGACCUGAGAGGGUGACCGGCCACAUUGGGACUGAGACACGGCCCA